GUUGUUGCAAUCGUUAUAACGUUACUGUAAUCAAACUUAUAUGUUUUAUAGAUUUACCGAGCAAUCAAAACAAAGUAUAACGUUACAGUUUACUACAUCUUUACUACAACUUCGUACACAAUUCACAGAGCAAUAAAGUAUAACUGUAAGUUACUACGGCUUUACUACAGCUUCGUGCACAAUGGAGCCUCGCUUCAGGAGACGGGCUGAUGGCAGCCUGAAUCUUUCGGACACACUGGAAGCAGCAAAGGUGAAGGAAGCCAACAAAGGAAAGCCUUACACAAGACCCCUGUCCCCGGAGGCUGUGCU